UUCGACAGGCCUCUGUGCUGGCAGCUUCAGAAAUGCCUUUGGGCUUGUCACAUGUUGAAAACUCCCAACUGGCUGUCUGAAUUGGCAACCAUGCUUUGGCUCACUGGAGAGAAGAGAGAAAUGGUGCUUUUUGUCCAUCUACUGAUAACCUCUCAUGGCAGAUCAAAGGAACCAGGUUUUGAUGACUUACAGCUCACACAAGGUCAUCCUGGGAAAACAGAUCCUGAGAAGUACUGCAGAGCUUGUGAAGUACUGCACUGGCUGGUGUCUGGAUUCUAGAGUUUAUGAUCUGCUCCAAAGCCAGAGAGGUGAUGACUAGAAGAAAAUCCUGGAGAUCCUGGAUGUGGAGGAGCCACAUGAUGGAAGGAAUGUGGAUCCAAUCACUCUUGGAGAAGAGCCACUGACUGGAAUUGGACUGUGAGAAAAUCUUGGAUCAAGAGUGGGAAGAGUCCUCAAGAAAAUAUCUAGUUUAACUACCCAACUCACAGAUUAAGAAACAGAGGCCCAGGAGGAGGUGUGGAAUUGCCUGUGGUUGUCCAGCCUGUUAGGAGGCAGAACUUAAGGGCUUUGUAUACAGUCUAGUGGGCCUCACAGGUCACAUACAUCCUCCUCUAUCUGGCUGCUCCAAACUGUAUGAAUGCAAACAGCAUGAGAAUAUCUUGUGGUAGUAAUUAAGUCACUAACAGAAAUUCUCCAGCUUGGGUACCUAAACCUGGCUAACCAUUAUUUGAACUAGAUAAAAACCAGAUACACAAAUCCCACUCUAGGAGAUGCUGAUUUGGAAGCUUAGGCGUUGAGCCCAGAAAUCUCUACUU